rnacentral:tRNA from 1 species
GGGCGUGUGGUCUAGUGGUAUGAUACCCGCUUUAGGGAAAAAAAAAUCUCAAAAUAUGCGGGUGGCCCGGGGUUCAAUUCCCCGCUCGCCCC